AUUGAACGCUGGCGGCAUGCUUUACACAUGCAAGUCGAACGGUAACAGGCCGCAAGGUGCUGACGAGUGGCGAACGGGUGAGUAAUGCAUCGGAACGUGCCCAGUCGUGGGGGAUAACGCAGCGAAAGCUGUGCUAAUACCGCAUACGAUCUAUGGAUGAAAGCGGGGGACCGUAAGGCCCCGCGCGAUUGGAGCGGCGGAUGUCAGAUUGGGUAGUUGGUGGGGUAAAGGCUCACCAAGCCAACGAUCUGUAGCUGGUCUGAGAGGACGACCAGCCACACUGGGACUGAGACACGGCCCAGACUCCUACGGGAGGCAGCAGUGGGGAAUUUUGGUCAAUGGGCGCAAGCCUGAUCCAGCAAUGCCGCGUGCAGGAAGAAGGCCUUCGGGUUGUAAACUGCUUUUGUACGGAACGAAAAGGUCUGGGUUAAUACCCUGGGCUGAUGACGGUACCGUAAGAAUAAGCACCGGCUAACUACGUGCCAGCCGCCGCAGUAA
rnacentral:rRNA from 1 species